rnacentral:rRNA from 1 species
GAAUUUUCCGCAAUGGGCGAAAGCCUGACGGAGCAAUACCGCGUGAGGGAUGAAGGCCUAUGGGUUGUAAACCUCUUUUAUCAGGGAGGAAUCAAUGACGUGUACCUGAAGAAUAAGCAUCGGCUAACUCCGUGCCAGCAGCCGCGGUAAGACGGAGGAUGCAAGUGUUAUCCGGAAUCACUGGGCGUAAAGCGUCUGUAGGUGGUUUGAUAAGUCAACUGUUAAAUCUUGAGGCUCAACCUCGAAAUCGCAGUCGAAACUAUUAAACUAGAGUAUAGUAGGGGUAAAGGGAAUUUCCAGUGGAGCGGUGAAAUGCGUAGAGAUUGGAAGGAACACCGAUGGCGAAGGCACUUUACUGGGCUAUUACUAACACUCAGAGACGAAAGCUAGGGUAGCAAAUGGGAUUAGAUACCCCAGUAGUC